GGUCAAGUUAUUAAGGGUGCAGGGCGGAUGCCUUGGCACUAGGAGCCGAUGAAGGACGUGAUAAGCUGCGAUAAGCUUCGGGGAGUUGCACGUAAACUUUGAUCCGAAGAUUUCCGAAUGAGGAAACUCACUUAGAGUAAUGUCUAAGUAUCAUUAAGUGAAUACAUAGCUUAAUGAGGGGAACUCAGGGAACUGAAACAUCUAAGUACCUGAAGGAAGAGAAAGAAAUUCGAUUCCGUAAGUAGCGGCGAGCGAACGCGGAUUAGCCCAAACCAAUAAAGUUUUCUUUAUUGGGGUUGCGGACAUAUCAUAACGAAGAGGUAUCGUAAUUGAAGAGGUUUGGAAAGACCCACCACAGAAGGUAAU
rnacentral:rRNA from 1 species